rnacentral:rRNA from 1 species
UUUGAUCAUGGCUCAGAUUGAACGCUGGCGGCAGGCCUAACACAUGCAAGUCGAGCGGCAGCACAGAGAAACUUGUUUCUCGGGUGGCGAGCGGCGGACGGGUGAGUAAUGCCUGGGAAAUUGCCCUGAUGUGGGGGAUAACCAUUGGAAACGAUGGCUAAUACCGCAUGAUAGCUUCGGCUCAAAGAGGGGGACCUUCGGGCCUCUCGCGUCAGGAUAUGCCCAGGUGGGAUUAGCUAGUUGGUGAGGUAAGGGCUCACCAAGGCGACGAUCCCUAGCUGGUCUGAGAGGAUGAUCAGCCACACUGGAACUGAGACACGGUCCAGACUCCUACGGGAGGCAGCAGUGGGGAAUAUUGCACAAUGGGCGCAAGCCUGAUGCAGCCAUGCCGCGUGUGUGAAGAAGGCCUUCGGGUUGUAAAGCACUUUCAGUCGUGAGGAAGGUGGUAGUGUUAAUAGCACUAUCAUUUGACGUUAGC